rnacentral:ncRNA from 14 species
GCGGUGGUGAAAUUGGUAUACACGCUUGAUUAGAAAUCAUGUGCCGUCACGGCGUCUGGGUUCGAGUCCUGGUCG